CAGUAGCCACGGGAAUACGAAGGGGGCUAGCGUUGUUCGGAUUUACUGGGCGUAAAGCGCACGUAGGCGGACUUUUAAGUCAGGGGUGAAAUCCCGGGGCUCAACCCCGGAACUGCCUUUGAUACUGGAAGUCUUGAGUAUGGUAGAGGUGAGUGGAAUUCCGAGUGUAGAGGUGAGAUUCGUAGAUAUUCGGAGGAACACCAGUGGCGAAGGCGGCUCACUGGACCAUUACUGACGCUGAGGUGCGAAAGCGUGGGGAGCAAACAGGAUUAGAUACCCCCGUAGUCCCUGUCUCUUAUAC
rnacentral:rRNA from 1 species